GACGAACCGUGCAAACGUUAUUCGGAAUCACUGGGCUUAAAGCGCGCGUAGGCGGCGUCGUCAGUCGGGGGUGAAAUCCCAACGGCUCAACCGUGGAAUAGCCUUCGAUACUGCGAUGCUCGAGGGAGGUAGGGGCAUGUGGAACUUCCAGUGGAGCGGUGAAAUGUGUUGAGAUUGGAAGGAACGCCGGUGGCGAAAGCGACAUGCUGGAACUCUUCUGACGCUGAGGCGCGAAAGCUAGGGUAGCGAACGGG
rnacentral:rRNA from 1 species